CCUACGUGAGGCAGCAGUGAGGAAUAUUGGUCAAUGGACGGAAGUCUGAACCAGCCAUGCCGCGUGCAGGAAGACGGCUCUAUGAGUUGUAAACUGCUUUUGUACAAGGGUAAACCUGAAUACGUGUAUUCAGCUGAAAGUACUGUACGAAUAAGGAUCGGCUAACUCCGUGCCAGCAGACGCGGUAAUACGGAGGAUCCAAGCGUUAUCCGGAUUUAUUGGGUUUAAAGGGUGCGUAGGCGGAUUGAGAAGUUAGAGGUGAAAUGUCCGAGCUUAACUCGGGAACUGCCUUUAAUACUGUUGAUCUAGAGAGUAGAUGCGGUAGGCGGAAUGUAUGGUGUAGCGGUGAAAUGCUUAGAGAUCAUACAGAACACCGAUUGCGAAGGCAGCUUACCAAUCUAUAUCUGACGUUGAGGCACGAAAGCGUGGGGAGCAAACAGGAUUAGAUACCCCAGUAGUC
rnacentral:rRNA from 1 species